rnacentral:misc_RNA from 1 species
CAGCAGCAGUAUUUUACCGAACGACAUUCGUACAUUCGGAAAAAAACGCUAACGAUUGUCAAUAAGUGACACAUUGGACAGUAAAUAUAACCACAAUGUUCAAGUUCUUUUACCACAACCAAAACAAACAUAAACCCUGUAAUUGUUAGUAAAAAUGUCUUGUCCUGGGUUAUAUUGCGGGAGAAUUCUUUUAGAAAAUGGGAAACUGAGCGACUGCGGCUCGUGCCCCCUUGGGUAUCGAAGAAAUGCCACAACUUUUAUAUGCGAACCAUGUUUAAGUAGUCCUGGACUCUACGACUGGUUGUAUUUUGGUUUUGUGGUAUUUAUCAUGCUAAUUUUGCACUGGUUUUUCAUAGACAUGGUUUCAAUGAGACGAAGUUUUAGCAAGAAUGUCCUAGUUCUACACGCAUCAGCCUUCUUUGAAGUCCUGAUUUCAUGUCUAUUAGCUGUACUGUCUCUGAGUCCAAUUGGAGAGUUUACAAUUUAUAGUUGCCACAGCAAGUCUUUGUCGGAUUGGUAUACAUUACUUCACAAUCCCACUCCAGACUAUGGAGACAAGGUUUACUGCACCCAAGAAGCAGUUUAUCCUUUAUACACCAUUGUUUUUCUAUUUUACGUCCUUUCCUUGGUUUCUAUGUUGUUGGUAAGGCCAUGGUUAUGUAGGAGAUAUUUACCAAGACAGGGCAAAAUGGCUAUUUAUGCUGCCAUGUACUUCAUUCCAAUUCUAAUUUUAAUUCAUGCUGUUAUAGGGGGAUUAGUAUAUUACUCAUUUCCCUACCUCUUAUUGGUAAUAUCAGUUAUAUCAUGUGCAGCACAUUUUGCUGUUAGAAUGGAGCAAAAUAUACCUGCUCUCAUUCGCUCUACAAUAACGCAGCCUAGAAAUAUUGUCAUCGUCUUGGGACACUGGUGUCUGCAUGCUUAUGGUAUUAUUUCGUUAACUCAACUGGAUAAACCUCUAAUGCAUGGUCUGUUGCUGUUGCUAGUACCUCUUCCAGCAUUGUUUUAUAUAUUUACAGUCCAAUUUACAGAUCCCAAUAAGUUUUACUUAUAGCAGAAGACUGUGUUUAAAAAGACCAAAGAUGAUUCCGGCAAUUACGUUUUUACCUACAUAUUCGAGCAUAAUGUUACUAGCGGAGGUCUGAGACGCCACCUUAGUAGGUAUCAAGGACCAGGACGUAGAGGUAGACGACCAUUAGUGCCCAGAAGUCCAACAACUGAUGCAGGAGGAAAGACAUUAAUGGAAACUGAGAAUUUCUUUCUCUAUGAGUAAGUCUGAUCAAAUCAGCACUCAUUAGUCAUCAGCUUCCAUUCCCAGGUCAUUAACCGUUUUCAAUUUUCACUAAUUGGCAGGGUUUCCUUUCAAAUUAUUGGAAUAUUUGGUUGUGUAAUUAAAUCUCCUUUUUUAUUA